rnacentral:lncRNA from 1 species
GGAGAAGGAAAAAGGAAUGUAAGAGUCAGUUAUGAGAAAUGACAAACGUACCAAUGACAAGCCUCGUUUCAGGACACCAUCCAAAUGAUAUCUGGAGGCCUUUGUAGAAGGCAGAACAACGUCCUUAACAAGAAAAAAAGUAUUUGAGGAUGGUCUAGUUAGUAAACACGAUGUCCAUGAAUUAUCAACAUAAGAGGAUGCCACCAAUUUUUUUUUUCUUACGAUAACAUUUUUUUUUUCUUUUUAUUAAUUUAUCAAGAUCAAACUAACCCAUAAAAUAAUGGAUAUACCAAUUUUUUUCUACGAUAACGUUUUUUAUUUUUAAUCG